AAUCUCCAGGUUCCUUACCCUUCAGAUCUAAAUAUGGGUCUGGGGGGUUAAAAGAAGAUGAACAGUAAACUUGGAGUGGACUUGGAGUCUUUCGUACAUACAAGUCCACUUCAAGCACAU
rnacentral:snoRNA from 1 species